rnacentral:tRNA from 1 species
GCCUCGGUAGCUCAGUGGUAGAGCAACUGCCUUGUAAGCAGUAGGCCGGGAGUUCAAGUCUCCCCCGGGGCU